rnacentral:rRNA from 1 species
GUGCAGCAGGCGCGAAUUUUUCACAAUGGGGGCAACCCUGAUGGAGCGACGCCGCGUGGAGGAUGAAGGCUUUCGGGUUGUAAACUCCUGUCAUUUGAGAACAAGUGUAGCCAACUAACUAUUGGCUACUUGAUAGUAUCAGAAGAGGAAGGGACGGCUAACUCUGUGCCAGCAGCCGCGGUAAUACAGAGGUCCCAAGCGUUGUUCGGAUUCAUUGGGCGUAAAAGGGUGCGUAGGUGGCGCCGUAAGUGGGGUGUGAAAUUUCGGAGCUUAACUCCGAAACUGCAUUCCAUACUGCGGUGCUUGAGGACUGGAGAGGAGACUGGAAUUCAUGGUGUAGCAGUGAAAUGCGUAGAGAUCAUGAGAAGACCAGUGGCGAAGGCGGGUCUCUGGACAGUUCCUGACACUGAGGCACGAAGGCUAGGGGAGCGAACGGAUUAGAUACCCUGUAGU